CAGCCGCCGCGGGAAUACAGAGGGUGCGAGCGUUAAUCGGAUUUACUGGGCGUAAAGCGUGCGUAGGCGGCUUCUUAAGUCGGAUGUGAAAUCCCUGAGCUUAACUUAGGAAUUGCAUUCGAUACUGGGAAGCUAGAGUAUGGGAGAGGAUGGUAGAAUUCCAGGUGUAGCGGUGAAAUGCGUAGAGAUCUGGAGGAAUACCGAUGGCGAAGGCAGCCAUCUGGCCUAAUACUGACGCUGAGGUACGAAAGCAUGGGGAGCGAACAGGAUUAGAGACCCCAGUAGUCCCUGUCUCUUAUAC
rnacentral:rRNA from 1 species